rnacentral:piRNA from 1 species
UGCAGUUUGCAGGUAAGCGGUCUGAG